rnacentral:lncRNA from 1 species
CUCACACUUGCUGGCUCCUUAACCUCUGAGCCACAAGUUUUCCUGUUGCAGUGGGUUUAAGGACAGGAUGCAUAUGUCAUAGAUGCAUUUGCUCUCAUAUUUGUCCAUUGUUAUUCCCCAAGAAUGUGAACAAGAGCUUGUGUCUGUUUUAUCCACUGUUGUAUCCACAAGGCCUAUACAGUACCAGGUACUUGGAAGCACUUAGUAAACCUUGGAUAAAUGGACAGACAGUUCUGAUGUGUAACUGGGGAAGAAGGGAGACGUUUCACGAUACCAGAGGAGAAAGGGUCAAGUCCACAAGAAAAAGAGAGAUUAUGAAGAGAACGGUGUGCAUUCCUGUAGCUAGUAGGGAGAGGACCAGAAAUGAGUGAUAUCAUUGCCUAUAGAAAGGACUGUGAACUUGUGCAUACUCAGACUGGUGCUGUGUCUGAUACGUGGUCGACUCUGAAUACACGUUUGUUCCAGGAGCACUCUACCACUGAGCUAUAGCCCCAGCCCUUUUUAUUUUUGUUCUGAAACAGAGUGUUGCUAAAUUGCCCAGGUUGGCUUCAAACUUGGGAGUCUCCUGCUCAGCCUCCUGAGUUGCUGGGAUUAGAGGCCACUACUCCCUGGUGCUUCACUGUUUUUUUUUAUCUUUAUUUUAUUUUUAUGUGGUGCUGACAAUUGGACCUAGUGCCUCACACAUGGUAGGUGAGCACUUUACCUCUGAACCACAACCCCAGCCUGAUUAUUUUUAAUUCUUUAUACUAACCAUUGACAAUGAGCUGGAGAUAUAGCUCAAUAGUGGAAUUCUUGCCCAGCACCCAUGAGGCCCUGGUUUAAUCCUCAACACUGGGGGAAAAAAAAAAAGCUUUAAAAGAAUGUUCAAUGUGUAGGGUGUAAGAAGUAAUAACAAUCCAUCAUCU